UGUGUUCAGAGAAAGCCAAAGAAUCUGGAGAGGGUUCUGGAGUGCAAGUCUUAUAAGGAGUGGCUGAGGGAACUGGAUUGUUCAGUCUAGAGAGGAGGUUCAGGGGGGGCCUUAUUGCUCUCUACAACUCCCUGAAAGGAAGUUGUGAUACGAUGAGAGUUGGCCUUUUCUUUCAGACACCAAUGACCUAGAUUUUCCAUGGAUGGCUGUCAAUUUUUGUUCUCAUCUGAAGUCUUCUUUCAGAAAUAAAUAAGAACACCUGUGUCUGAUGAGGGACCGUGCCAUAGUCAUAUCAGACAUGCUUUGAGGGAUUGUCCUCCAGAAGUUACAAGUGAUCAGUGUGACAGCAUCAGAAAAAGUGCCUGUGCAUGUGCAGCCCACCCUGUGUGCACAUUGGUGGUGAGACUCCAAACAACAAUGUGUCUUUCCAUUUUGAUGGUGAAAGAGAGAAAUACUUCGUCAGGCACAUCAGUGGGAAACAGCAGAUCUGAAGCCCACAGUGGUUCCUGUGGAAUCACUGCAUUUCAGUUUGUGUGGGGGCAGAGACUGGCAUACUUAAUUUGCAGAUUUUCUUUGUAUUUGCAAUCUAGAAGUGGGACAAGAGAUCCCUCUAGACGGGGCGUGUUGGAGUGAACAGAAGCAGAAUCUGUCUGCUCAUGUCUGCAGUUGACUGAGUAGUUCUGCCUUUCCGAGUUCCACAAAGUGACUGCAUAAAUCCUGCUCUACACUGAAGACAAAGUUCAUCUGAUACACUUUCUUGCCAAAGUGCAGACAGUCCCUUUCUAAGUAAUCUUUUCCAGGGAACAGGAUUUUUAUGGCUCUUUAAUGCUCCAUCAGGUGUUAAUCGUAAUGUUUUACUGUCUGAAUAACAAACAUAUCUCCCUCAAGAAAGUUUUGGUUCACAUCCAAAAUUCUGUUCCCAGAGCAGACAAUGCACUUUGAUAGCAGUGACCACAUUUUACCCUGCGCCCAAUGAAUUUCCAGGCUCAGGAACUGAGAGAGAGAGAUUUUUUAGCUGUUGUCUUUGAUAUUACUGAAAAGCCUUUAUGUUACACUCCAGGAUACUGCAGCUGUGGAAAUCAGUAAUUUCAGGGAAGAAUAAUCUAAUUCCUCUCUCUUAUUCUUACAUGUAAAUGUGUCUUGAUUAAGGUUAAAGUAUAGCAGUGUGUUGCAAGAGGGAUGAAAAUCAGUGCUUUGCUCAGGUGAUCCAGAACUGGACCAAUGCAGAAAGGUGUGCAUUCAUAGAAGCAUGAGCAAGUUUUUAUUCCUGUAAGAAAGGGAAUUAAGUGUGUUCUCUUCUUCCACAUCAUGGGCUCUAAAAAGAUUUAAGUACAGACUCUUGGUCAAUAUUUUUAAAAGGUCGCCUAAGUGUCUGAGAAACUAGGACCUCAUUUUCAGAGCAGACAGUUUACUUGGCACCUGUCUUCACAGUACUUGUACAAAAUUGGAUUUUGGUUCUGAAAACACAGUAAAUUCUACUUUUUUUCUCUCUCUACAUUGUACCUUUACAACACUGAGUUUAUGAAGCACCACUCUGUGAAAUAUUCCAGGCCCCAGUUUUGAUAUGACUCAGGAAGAGAUGUUGUUUUACAUUAUAUAAAGUCAACAUGAUUUUUUCUGUCAAAAAAGUCUUUGAGGCAGCUAUUCUUGUCUGUGUUUUCACCUGUAAAUUAAACAUAAUCUUAUAAUGGUACCUUUCAGUAACUGCUCUUCAGAAAAAAUAGGAAAAAUACAAUAACCACCUCUUUCAUUCCUUCAACUGCAAUUUUUUUAUCCUUUAUUUUUCACCUUUUGAUCUCAGAAUCUUUCAUGAAAGUAAUAAAAACAGU